GAUGAACGCUGGCGGCGAGCCUAAUACAUGCAAGUCGAGCGAACAGAUGAGGAGCUUGCUCCUCUGACGUUAGCGGCGGACGGGUGAGUAACACGUGGAUAACCUACCUAUAAGACUGGGAUAUCUUCGGGAAACCGGAGCUAAUACCGGAUAAUAUAUUGAACCGCAUGGUUCAAUAGUGAAAGACGGUUUUGCUGUCACUUAUAGAUGGAUCCGCGCCGCAUUAGCUAGUUGGUAAGGUAACGGCUUACCAAGGCAACGAUGCGUAGCCGACCUGAGAGGGUGAUCGGCCACACUGGAACUGAGACACGGUCCAGACUCCUACGGGAGGCAGCAGUAGGGAAUCUUCCGCAAUGGGCGAAAGCCUGACGGAGCAACGCCGCGUGAGUGAUGAAGGUCUUCGGAUCGUAAAACUCUGUUAUUAGGGAAGAACAAAUGUGUAAGUAACUAUGCACGUCUUGACGGUACCUAAUCAGAAAGCCACGGCUAACUACGUG
rnacentral:rRNA from 1 species